UAAAGCGAAAGAAGGGCAUUCGGUGGAUGCCUUGGCUCUGAGAGGCGACGAAGGACGUGAUAAGCUGCGAAAAGCUGCGGGGAUCGGCAAAUACGACUUGAUCCGCAGAUAUCCGAAUGGGGCAACCCGGCAAGCUUGCUUGCCACCAUCCAAUGAUGGAGCGAACGUGGGGAACUGAAACAUCUUAGUACCCAUAGGAAGAGAGAACAAUUUAGUGAUUCCCCCAGUAGAGGCGAUCGAACGGGGACGAGCCCAAACCGGCAGUGUCGCAAGGCAUCGCCGGGGUUGUAGGGCUCUCGACAUCGCAAGAGUGACGCGAGGAGAAGUGACGUGGAAACGUCCACCAUAGACGGUGAUAGCCCGGUAACCGAAGCGAAGUGAAGCGUAGAGAGUACCUGAGUAGUGCGGGACACGUGCAAUCCUGUAUGAAACCGGGAGGUCCAUCUCCCAAGGCUAAAUACUUCUCAGAGACCGAUAGUGAACAAGUACCGUGAGGGAAAGGUGAAAAGAACCGCUCAUAGCGGAUUGAAAUAGUACCUGAAACCGGAUGCCUACAAGCGGUCGGAGCCCUUAGGGGUGACGGCGUGCCUUUUGCAUAAUGAACCUACGAGUUACCAUGCACAGCAAGGCUAAGCGAUCCAGUCGUGGAGCCGUAGCGAAAGCGAGUUUUAAAUGGCGUACAGUUGUGUAGGGUAGACGCGAAACCAAGUGAUCUAUCCGUGUCCAGACUGAAGUGAGGGUAAAACCUCAUGGAGGGUCCAACGGAGAAAUGGUGAAAAAUUUCCCGAUGAGGUACGGAUAGGAGUGAAAGGCCAAUCAAACUUGGAGAUAGCUCGUACUCCCCGAAAUGCAUUUAGGUGCAGCCUUUAUGGUUAAGUACACGAGGUAGAGCGACUGAUUGGAUGCGAGAGCUUCACCGCUUAUCAAAUCCGGACAAACUCCGAAUGCGUGUAUGAAUUCAUGAAGAGUGAGGGUGCGGGAGCUAAGUUCCGUAUCCGAGAGGCAAAGAAGCCGGACCAUCAGCUAAGGCCCCCAAAUGAUGUCUAAGUUGAAUGAACGAAGUCGCAAUGCAGAGACAGCUAGGAUGUUGGCUUGGAAGCAGCCAUUCAUUUAAAGAGUGCGUAACAGCUCACUAGUCGAGGAUUGUGGCGUGGAUAAUAAUCGGGCAUAAGACAUCUGCCGAAGCUAUGGGAUCGAAAGAUCGGUAGGGGAGCAUUCCAGCGAGGUCGAAGGUGUGAGGUGACUCAUGCUGGACUUUCUGGAAGAGCAAAUGUAGGUAUAAGUAACGAUAAAGGAAGUGAGAAUCUUCCUCGCCGAAAGACUAAGGUUUCCUCUUCAACGUUCGUCGGAAGAGGGUUAGUCGGGACCUAAGGAGUAGCCGUAGUUGGCGAAUCCGAACGGAAGAAUGGGUUAAUAUUCCCAUACUGAUUACGCGUAGUGGAUGCAAGGACGAAGGAGUGACAGCCUCGCCUGCUGACGGAAUAGCAGGUUAAAGGGAGUAGGCGCUGAUGGGGUAGUAAAGUACGUCCCAGAGCCGAACCUGAUAGUACCGGGAAUCUACGGAGGAACGGAUAGAGGUGUAAGCAGACUUCCAAGAAAAGUUGCUACAUGAUUGAUGUGUAAUCACUCGUACCACAAACCGACACAGGUAGUUGGGUUGAGUAUACUAAGGCGCGCGAGAUAUGCGUGGUUAAGGAACUAGGCAAAAUAGAUCUGUAACUUCGGGAAAAAGAUCGCCCUCCUCCGGGAGGGUCGCAGAGAAUAGGCUCAAGCGACUGUUUACCAAAAACACAGGGCUGUGCGAAAUAGAAAUAUGCAGUAUACAGCCUGACACCUGCCCGGUGCCGGAAGGUUAAGAGGAGAGGUCAUCCGUAAGGAGAAGCCUUGAAUUGAAGCCCCGGUAAACGGCGGCCGUAACUAUAACGGUCCUAAGGUAGCGAAAUUCCUUGUCGGGUAAGUUCCGACCUGCACGAAUGGUGUAACGAUUUGAGCACUGUCUCGACCACGUACUCGGUGAAAUUGUAGUAACGGUGAAGAUGCCGUUUACCCGCAAUGGGACGAAAAGACCCCGUGAACCUUUACUAUAGCUUUACAUUGUAUUUGGGUAUCAGAUGUGUAGGAUAGGCCGGAGGCUAUGAUGUGGCGUCGCCAGAUGUCAUGGAGUCAUUGGUGAAAUACGGCCCUUUUGGUAUUUGAAUACUAACUCGCGAGUUGCGAGGACAAUGUAUGGUGGGUAGUUUGACUGGGGCGGUCGCCUCCAAAAAAGUAUCGGAGGCUUCUAAAGGUACCCUCAAGACGAUUGGUAACCGUCUGUAAGAGUGUAAUGGCAGAAGGGUGCUUGACUGGGAGACUAACAAGUCGCACAGGUAGGAAACUAGAGCAUAGUGAUCCGGUGGUUCCGCAUGGUAGGGCCAUCGCUCAAAGGAUAAAAGGUACUCCGGGGAUAACAGGCUGAUCACUCCCAAGAGCUCAUAUCGACGGAGUGGUUUGGCACCUCGAUGUCGGCUCGUCACAUCCUGGGGCUGGAGAAGGUCCCAAGGGUUGGGCUGUUCGCCCAUUAAAGUGGCACGCGAGCUGGGUUCAGAACGUCGUGAGACAGUUCGGUCUCUAUCUAUUGUGGGCGUAGGAUAUUUGCGGGGAUUUGACACUAGUACGAGAGGACCGUGUCGGACGCACCGCCGGUGGAUCAGUUGUCCCGCCAGGGGCAUAGCUGAGUAGCUGUGUGCGGAUAGGAUAAGUGCUGAAAGCAUCUAAGCACGAAGCCGUCCUCAAGAUGAGAUAUCCAUAUAAGGGACGUUAGAGACGAUGACGUUGAUAGGCUGUAGGUGUAAGUGCAGUAAUGUAUUUAGCCGAGCAGUACUAAUUUCCCAAGAAUGCUUUAU
rnacentral:rRNA from 1 species